GUCCCCAUUUACCAACCCAAGCAAGUAAGCCCACCUGAGCCACAGAACCUUCUCCCUCCCUACAAAAGGCUCAGGAGUAGGAGGCACCAGACAGCUUUUAUCGUCUCUAACACUAACUCAGUUUUGAAUAAAUUGAAGAGCGAGGAAGAGUCAAAGGAAAAAAUGCUGGGUCAGUGAUUACCCUUGAAAAUACUUUGCAAUUACAAAAACAAACAUUUAAUGAACUGAUCCAGUUAGUCACCAACAGAAUACUUAAGUACGCCUCUUGAUUCCUUUAUUGGAAGAACUAUGACCCAUCCAAAUCAUUCUUCAAAGUCAGUCUGUCUGUGAAGAAUAAAACAAUGAUUGCUAAUAAA
rnacentral:lncRNA from 10 species